UCCCUGCAGCCAAUCAUUUGGGGCAUGACUCUCUCCCAGCUUUUACUUUGAAAACUGCAUGUGCAAGAAAAGCAACUAAAAAGAGCCUGGCUAAGACUGGUCUGCUGGCAUGUAGCUCCUACUUUGUUCAUGCUUCACACAAGUAUCAAUUACUAAGUGAAGUACAUACAGUGAAAAAUCAGAUCUUUUUUUUUUUUUUUUUUUUUUUUUUUUUUUUUUGUCUAGAUGUUGGAAAACAUUAAUUUAAAUUUUGAAUAUCUGUCUUCUAUGAUCAUAUUCCUGCCCCCUUUUUACUUGCUAGUUACAAAUAUUCAUGUGCAUGUAUUAUUGUUUCCAAGGAUGUAUGGAGAAUAAUUGUUCUACAUAUGGAGACGUGUAUUUGCAUGAUCACAGAGGAUACACCAGUGCAGGCUUAUGAGAGCAUACGUUUCCUUUCCCCAGCUCAUGGAUCCUCCCUCCUCAAACUAAAUAUCUGUAGUGUCUUGGAAAGAAAUUUGUCCUGAACAACAACAACAAAAUGUUUUCUUCCCACUGGUGUGAUAAUUUAGUUCACAAACUUAGAGACAAGCCUGUGCCUUGAAGAUUUUGCCAUCCAUUUGUGUUGAAUCACUGGCUUAAGACCAAGGCUGAAGAAGAAGUGCAACCAUAUUGAUAAUUUACUAGAAGUAAUGUGUGUACACAUUUUUAGCUAAUGGAACGUUACUAUUAUAUUAAUUAAAGUUCACAUAAUAUUAAUUGUGUUACACAUAAGCUCUUCUUAAAGGUUUUCACAGUAUAACUCCAAGAUGCCAUUCUGACUUUUAAUUGUCUUCAUUUUCCAUUCAUAUUGGCUGUGUACAUCACUUUUAGCAUUGGCUAAUGAAACCAUGUCUUCAACCUAUAUAAAAGCAGUAUUUGCCAACAUCACACACUGCACACAACUCAUAAUAUUAAAAUACUUAUAUAAAGUAAAUUUAAACAAACAAACAAACAAUGUUUGGCUUAAUCCUAUUAAACCAGACUUUCUUAAGAGUUACUGCUUUCAUACAAAAUGCAUACUAAACAAAAGGACAUGGAAAUGUUACUUUAGUAAACGCAUCACUAUGGCAAGGACAGUGGCCGCUGGGUGUCACUGUGGAUCCAUGCAGUUUUAUACAAAAUACCUUCUUUGGCAGUACAAAUGUUUCUGUUCUGGUCCUGUGAACAGCAUGUGCCCUCUUAACUGUUUGAACAUUCCUACAGAGAAGACAGAAAAGGAGAGUGUAUGAUUAUGGAGAAAGACUUUCCUUUUCUUUUCCUUUUUUUUUUUUUUUUUUUUUUUUUUGUUAACCUCACAGAAGACUAAUAUACAGAUAUACACGACUGGCAAAUCCAAAGAUAUAUAAAGAUAUAAAGGAGUGGCAAAAUGGAACUAAGCUUCAUAUGUGGGUUAUUAGCCAUUUUGUGUGACGAAGACAUAGACAGGAAUGGAAAAAAAUGAAGUAAGUUUGAAAUGUGUGUGUUUUGUUUAAAGGUUGUAUGUAGCAUGUACAUGUAUAGUGACAGGUGAAUUUAAAACGUAGUACAGUCAAAGCAAAGAAGGAGAAAGAUUUUUAUGUAUUAUACCCAAUGUUAAUAAUAUUUGCAAAAAUUCACUAGUUCAUGGUAUUGCAAACAUGUGCCUGGAUUUUACCAGCAUUUUUUUCUGUUGCUCUUUAGUGUGUGGUAUGCACAAACAGCAGAGGAUUCUGAGAAUAUUGAAGGUCCUAGUGUAUGAAAGAACAUUGAAUGAAGUACUGAAAAACAGAGAAACAUACUCUUACUUUUAGCCUGUUACCUACAAUUUUUGGACAGAGUGAGUAAUUAUUUAUUGUAGUUCCCUUGUAUGACUGAAAAUGAAAGAAACAGUGGAAUUAAUAUUGUGAAACAUUACUUCAAUGGAAUAUUGUUUCAGUGGAAGAUGUUACAUUUCCUAUUUUGUCCUUUUUCAAUGACUUUGAUGUUUUCUCUUUGGACAGACUUCUGGAAAUUUUUCCUAUUUCAAGUAUCAUAUUUUUCUCCAAAUCAGUUUUCCAUUUCUGUUUUCAGUAUAGCUCCAAAUGUUAAUUAUUUUUA